CCGAAGGUCGGCCCGGGGGGCUGCGCUACCUUCCAGAUCUGCUCGUGCGUUCGAGGGUCCGUGCUGCCCGCUGAAUACUCAUUCAUUUACGUUUUCUAAGUUUGCCUUUAUUGCUGCUCUCCAUAAUCCAUACUGGCUGCAGUAGGGUAUAGGAAGAUCCCUUGCCUUUUGGCAAGUUAAUUGUCAAGUUACCUGAACGUGGGAAACAAUUGUGUAGUGCUUAAAGACAGUUUACAAGUGUAUCUUCAGUGCAACCUGUAAAGAGUGUUCCACAUUCCCCGAACUUUUGUAACAUCUUCAGUGUUUAUUUGGUCUCCACUAACCAUGUAGACAUGAUGGCUGGAGCUCUGGCAACCAUUAAGAACAACAGGAUGCAGAUUGCUCUAUAAAGAUUGAAGAAACUUAGACCCUGAUGACAUCGUAGAACUGAUGUGCCAGCCCUAGAGUAUCUAUCUCCUGACAUUUUUUUCCUGCAAGAUAAAAAGGAUUCUUUCAUUGAAGUCACCAAUGGGGUUUCUUUUGAUAGAGUGUUCAUAGAUGAAUACAGUUCCUAAGUGGGACACAAGCACUGCCCUUGAGGAGCUCAAAGUGGAUAGAGAAAAGAGAAAUAUAAAAAGUUAAAAUAAAAUGAGAACCAUUAUCUUCCCGACGGAUGGCUGUCAAAACUGUUGUUCCCAGAUUGGCUGCACACAAGAGCAGAGUUUUCGGGAAAUUUUAAAUAAGAGAGAGCAAAAUCCUAGAGCUUUUCUUGGAAGAAUUAUGACAGAAGUUGAAACAGCUUUAUCUGUAAAAUCUUGAAGUUAUGUUUUCCACAAACUUUUGGAAGUCCCGUUUUAUAAGUGAAACAGCAAACCAAAACCUGGUGAGGCAGAUGGUCAGAAGUUACAAUUCACAGAGAUGUGAAUGCUGUUUAAUAGAAGGCCCAGGAGGUGACAUUCACUAGGAUGUAAUCUUCUUCUUAUUAAAAUGCAGGGCAAAUGACCCAAGGGUUCCUUGACAGAUGACUGAGUAAAUAAAAUGUGACAUACACACAGAGUGGAAUAUUAUUCAGCCUUAAAAGGGAGUGAGGCAGUGAUACAUGCUACAAAAUGGACCUAGGAGGACAUAUAUGAUUCCACUUCUACGCAGUACCUGGAGCAGGCAAAUGCAUAGAAACAGAAAGGAGAAUGGUUGCCAGGAGCUGGAGGGAAGGCAGGGAUGGAGUUACUUCUGCACGUACAACUUUCAGUUGGGGAAGAUUAGAAACUCCACAGUAAUGGUUGCACAAAGUGAAUGGAGUUAAUGCUACUGAACCGUAUGUACACUUAAGAAUGGUUAAAAUGGUAAAUUUUAUGUAACAUAUUUGGUCACAAUAACUUAAAGACACAUUCAGAGCAAUUCAUAAAACCUUCCCACAGCAGAAAGCCUGGAGCUUAAUUGUCCUUAGGGGCAUCACAGAAGGAAAAUUUGCAGAAUCAAGAACGGAUUUGCAGAUUUGCAUAGGAUUACAACUAUUAUUGGAAGGAAAAGAGGUGAGGUGAAGGAAACAAAGCAGGUAAAGUCUAUAUGUUAAAAACAGAACAGUUUUUGUUGGUGUGGGGCUGAGAUGUGUAGAAUUUCCCACUGAAUUGAUGAAACAUAUAGAUGAGGUUUUUUUACUUUUUCUUUCUCAUCUGGACAGUUUUUUUCUUGUUUGGCUCCACUGGAUAGAACCUUCAGAACAAGAUUGAAUAGCCUUCACUGGAGAGA